rnacentral:misc_RNA from 1 species
AAGUCGUAACAAGGUUUCCGUAGGUGAACCUGCGGAAGGAUCAUUAUUGAAUUUUGGAAGGAGCUGUCUGCUGGCCCUCUUGGUGGGGCAUGUGCACGCUCUGGAACCUCCAACACACACCUGUGCACCUUUUGUAGGGUCGUGGUCGCGAGGCUGCGCUCUAUGUUUAUGAUGAACUCUUUAGUAUGUGUAGAAUGAAUGACACUGCGUGUAACGCAUCUUUAUACAACUUUCAGCAACGGAUCUCUUGGCUCUC